rnacentral:rRNA from 1 species
GGUGGGGGAGUGACGUCAAAUCAUCAUGCCCUUAUGACCUGGGCUACAAACGUGAUACAAUGGCUGAAACAAAGGGCAGCGAAGCAGUGAUGUGAAGCGAAACCCAAAAAAGCAGUCUCAGUUCGGAUUGAAGUCUGCAACUCGACUUCAUGAAGUCGGAAUCGCUAGUAAUCGCGAAUCAGAACGUCGCGGUGAAUACGUUCUCGGGGUUU